rnacentral:rRNA from 1 species
UGGGGAAUAUUGCACAAUGGGCGAAAGCCUGAUGCAGCGACGCCGCGUGAGUGAAGAAGUAUUUCGGUAUGUAAAGCUCUAUCAGCAGGGAAGAAAAUGACGGUACCUGACUAAGAAGCCCCGGCUAACUACGUGCCAGCAGCCGCGGUAAUACGUAGGGGGCAAGUGUUAUCCGGAUUUACUGGGUGUAAAGGGAGCGUAGACGGCGAAGCAAGUCUGAAGUGAAAACCCAGGGCUCAACCCUGGGACUGCUUUGGAAACUGUUUUGCUAGAGUGUCGGAGAGGUAAGUGGAAUUCCUAGUGUAGCGGUGAAAUGCGUAGAUAUUAGGAGGAACACCAGUGGCGAAGGCGGCUUACUGGACGAUAACUGACGUUGAGGCUCGAAAGCGUGGGGAGCAAACAGG